AAAAUCCAGAAAUCCAGCCAGGUAGACUGUGGAGGAGGUCAAGUUUCAGUGAGGGGAGGCAAACUUCAGAUGCCUGAGCUAGAAGUCAGAGGUAGACAAUGAGAUCUCAAAUGGAGACAGAGCUGGCUGAUGAUGGCUUCCAAGGCCGGGUGCCAGGGGCAGAAGUGGGUCCAGACCACGUGCAGUUUCUGGGCUAGCACGGACCUUCCUCAGCGAGGGGCUUUGAUGGAGAUGUUCUGGGAACCCUGGUGUCCCUGGAGGCUCACAGAUGGCUCCCCAGGCCGGAGGUACAGUAACAGCCUGGUAACAUAGACGGAACGCUAUUGUCCCCUGAAAUCCG
rnacentral:lncRNA from 1 species